GAUGAACGCUGGCGGCGUGCCUAAUACAUGCAAGUCGGACGGUCGACUUCGGUCGACAGUGGCGAACGGGUGAGUAACGCGUUGGUGACCUGCCCCGAAGAGCGGGAUAACAGGCCGAAAGGCCUGCUAAUACCGCAUAAGCUAGCCAAGGCUUAGGAAUUGGUUAGGAAAAGGAGAAAUCCGCUUUGGGAGGGGCCUGCGUCCCAUCAGCUAGUUGGUAAGGUAACGGCUUACCAAGGCGAUGACGGGUAGGGGACCUGAGAGGGUGACCCCCCACAAUGGAACUGAAACACGGUCCAUACACCUACGGGUGGCAGCAGUAGGGAAUAUUGGUGAAUGGGCGAAAGCCCGAACCAGCAACGCCGCGUGUGCGAUGAAGGCCUUCGGGUUGUAAAGCACUUUUCUCUGGGAAGAGGAAGGACGGUACCAGAGGAAUAAGCCUCGGCUAACUACGUGCCAGCAGCCGCCGUAACAC
rnacentral:rRNA from 1 species